AAAAAAAAAAAAAAAAAACUCAUCAUAAGCAACUGUGAACAAUCAAAGAGUAAAAUGUACAACCUUUAUUCUCAUCAAAGAAACAAAAAAAAAACUCAUACUUUUUGUUACAACAAGAUUUAAGAUGAGUAAUUCAUAACAAUCCCAAACGUGGAAGUCCCCUCUGGUAAUCACAAACCUCAACAACAGUCUCAACACACCAUUACCUUAAGGAAGAAACCACCAAGGUCAGAGCACAUAGAAUAAACUUUAUGAGCAGCAAGUUCAUGUUGUCUCUCCCACAUCUCCUCGUGCUUAUUAACAUCCUUGACGAAGUUCAUACGAAGUUGAAAUACCUAAAAGCCCAGAACAAGACACAGAUUGAAAGAAAAUUGCAGAAAAUCAUAAGAAAAAUGUAUUACAAAACGAAACAUGAAGAAGAAGAAAGGAGUACCCA